AUUUACACGACCCAUAGAUAUGAUCGAUAAUGUAUUAUUUUGUUUUCCGAUACGUAUUAUGAUGUACAGAUGUUUGACAACUUUGCAGAGUUACGAUCAGCAAGUUUGAACAAAUAACCAUCUACAACGCCAUGCAUACCUCGAUAUCCAGUCAAAUCUAAUUCAGUAAUUGGCCUCACCGUUGUUUUUAUGGGUUUGAUCGGUUAUCUUGCUGUCAAAUUAAAUCCGGCUGAAUGAUCCGUUUAGCAACCCCAGCUAAUCUCCGAUAAUCCCACAUUUUAUCUGGAAAACUGUGAAAAGUCUACACCGCCUGUGGCAUUUUGGGGAUUAAAAUUACAUUUGUAGAUGAAUAUUUUUAAAAUUGGUCUCAUUUUAAAGCUA